CACCCACACUGUGACAAGGGGCGCGCGCAACCGGGAAAACUACGGCCUUUUACGACGAGAGAUAUGAGAUUUUUCUGAAAUCUUCACUGUACAUCCACCCAACUGUGAAUGUUCAUACACAUGGAAAUAGUCACAUGAGUCACUGUUGGAUGACUACAGUAGUUACAUCGUAUAUCUUUGAUAGGAUAUCUUUAAAAAAGAUCUCGACGGUUUGAGAAUGUCCUCCUUUCGAAGAAGACGCACAAGUUUCACCAGUUGCCAAUGUACUACGAUGUGUGGCGAAAUCAACACAGCACAGCAAACCGGCAAGAUGGGAAAGAGUGACAAUACACAGCGAAUUCCACAUUGAAAUAAAUAAAUAAUAAAAUUUUAUUUAUCCACAGUUACA